CACCAGGAAGCUCAUAGCAUUAGCCUUUUAAGCUAAAGAUAGAGGAACCUGCCUCCUCCCUGAUGA
rnacentral:tRNA from 1 species